UACGUAGGUGGCAAGCGUUACUCGGAAUCACUAGGCGUAAAGCGCAUGUAGGCGGUUUGGUAAGUCUUUUGUGAAAGCUCCCGGCUCAACUGGGAGAGGUCAAAGGAAACUACUAGGCUAGAGUGUGGUAGGGGAUACUGGAAUUCCUGGUGUAGCGGUGAAAUGCGUAGAUAUCAGGAGGAAUACCUAUGGCGAAAGCAGGUAUCUGGGCCAUCACUGACGCUGAGCUGCGAAAGCUAGGGGAGCAAACAGG
rnacentral:rRNA from 1 species